ensembl:lncRNA
GCCGCGGGCUCGGCCCACCCACGCUCCCGCCUCCGCUGGCCCGCGCGUCACUCCAGAGGCGGGGCCUCGUGGGCGGUGGGGGGCGAAGGAGGGGUGCUGCGGCGAGCGGGGUCGGCUAACGGCUCCCCACAGGCUCGCCGCAGGUUCCAGCUCGCGCUUCCGAGCUGCUGCUGCUGGGCUGCUGGCCGUGUUCUCCAGGGUGCUUUCGGAAGGUCCUCGCCCCUAUCAGAUUUCAGAGAGGUGCAGAACCGGCCCACGCCCGCACCUGUGCUUGCUUCCCUGGACUCCACAGCGGGAUGAAAGUUCCCCUCGGGUCAUCUUCCAGCUGCCCUCUAAAGAUAAUCAUCUUUGGACUUCACGGCUCUUCCUUUAGAGAGAGAUCUUAACAUUCUUUGAUUAAAGGCAUCCUGCUCCUCCGAGCCUGAGAUAAUGCCUCUCUUCCGUCUAUCGUGCCUCUCUCUGCGUUAAGACCCUCAGUCCCUCCGGCUUAUGAACCAUCACAAGGACGCAGGGUUUUUCACUUUAUGCCUUCCAUUUGCACGAUGGUGUAAUGGCAGAAGAGCCCACACUGAUAAGGAAAAGUCACCACAGCACUGUGACAUCUUACUGGCCCUGAUCAUCGCUUAUGAGCCAGUUCUGCAAAUCCUGUUCCCAAGAAACUCAAGAAAUUGCUGCUAAAAAUAAAAUUCUGGCGAACUGUCUCAGGACUUCAAAAGGGACAGAACAUAAUUGCAAAUAAGCCACGACAAAUGGUCAAGAAUAUAUCACCAAAAGAAAUAAAGCGUCAGUUUUCUUCCAGUUCCCUGAUGCAUAAUGGAGGAGUAGCUUCCUCUUCCUGCUAGUAAUUUCUUCUGAACGUGGACUCCUCAGCUUACUGAAGUUCCUCCAACUUUACAAGUUAACCACACCCAGGAUGAAGAGGAAAGAAGAGCUGCAUCUCCAAAAAGGAAACCAAAUGUAUAGAAAUAGUGUUGACUAUUUCUAGCUUUUCUUUUUUCACUUUUUCAGGGUCAAAACAAACCUUGCUUAAUUUCUUGUCAUCAGAAACCCUCCAGAACUAUGACCCAGGAGCAAAACAUUCCCCCAGCCAGCUGUCUGACCUUUUAGAGAGAACAUUUGCACCAUUGUUUACUAGUUAGGAAGACAGGCGAUUAUUAACCCUAUUUCACAGAUGGAGAAACAGAUGCAGGUUAAAUGACUUGUCCAGUCACACAACUAACUAGUAGCAGAGCCUGGAUUUCCUACCACAGUUCUCGUGACUCCCAGACCAGGGCGCUUGCCAGGACAUC